AGAACGAACGCUGGCGGCAUGCCUAAUACAUGCAAGUCGAACGAAGGCUUCGGCCUUAGUGGCGCACGGGUGCGUAACGCGUGGGAAUCUGCCCCUUGGUUCGGAAUAACAGUUGGAAACGACUGCUAAUACCGGAUGAUGACGAAAGUCCAAAGAUUUAUCGCCAAGGGAUGAGCCCGCGUAGGAUUAGCUAGUUGGUGAGGUAAAGGCUCACCAAGGCGACGAUCCUUAGCUGGUCUGAGAGGAUGAUCAGCCACACUGGGACUGAGACACGGCCCAGACUCCUACGGGAGGCAGCAGUAGGGAAUAUUGGACAAUGGGCGAAAGCCUGAUCCAGCAAUGCCGCGUGAGUGAUGAAGGCCUUAGGGUUGUAAAGCUCUUUUACCCGAGAUGAUAAUGACAGUAUCGGAGAAUAAGCCCCGGCUAACUCCGUGCCAGCAGCCGC
rnacentral:rRNA from 1 species